rnacentral:rRNA from 1 species
UACGGGGGGAGCAAGCGUUGUUCGGAUUUACUGGGCGUAAAGGGCGCGUAGGCGGCCAGCACAAGUCAGUUGUGAAAUCUCCGAGCUUAACUCGGAAAGGUCAACUGAUACUGUGCGGCUAGAGUGGCGGAAGGGGCAACUGGAAUUCUUGGUGUAGCGGUGAAAUGCGUAGAUAUCAAGAGGAACACCUGCGGCGAAGGCGGGUUGCUGGGCCGACACUGACGUGAGGCGCGAAAGCGUGGGGAGCGAACAGG